GGCAAAGACGUGGGGAUACGCACGUGAGGAAGCAGCGGGAUCCUCCGGGCAGACGAGUCAAUGAAGCGGCUCCCAGUCCCGCGCGCGGCUGAGCGGCUGAGCGGCACGGCCGUUCCGGGAAACGGGCCCUUCACGUCCUCUGUGGAGGCCACCGAGAGCCCUCGCACCCCCAGAGGGUGUGCCGCGGGACACCCGCGCGGUACCAGGUGCACCCUUGGAGGCCAGGCUGUCGCUGGUGGAAACGUCCUCGCCGCGCACCGCGGGGCUGCAGUUGAAGGCGGGGGUUGGGUAGGGAGGGGAAACCCGGAGGCACCCGGAGGCCGGUCGGGAUCUGUGGUGGGAGCCUGUGCAGGCGAGGAGGCACCGGGAGGAGGAAGGGACUGUUCGAGGCGAGGCGGGAGAGGAGAGGGGCAGGGCUUGGCUGGGCUGGGUGCUGCCUCUCCUGAAACGCAGAAAGACGAAUGGGAACAGAGUCAGGAAUUUUCAGAAGAAAACAGGAAGAAGUCGUUCGAGCUUGGGUUUCCCCCCCAGCGGACCUGAGGCGAGCAUUUGGGUACAACGGGAGUACGGGGCUCGUGCCUGAGCAGGUGUCCAGAGGGCCACAGGGGCUCAGUCUCGCUGAGGACACUCGAGACCGCGUGGAAUCCGCCGCAGCACUGUCCCCAAGAGGCGAGAAGGUGGGGUGCGCACCCAGCCCGCCCACCGCACCCACAGCCCCGGAAAGCUCCACUGCCCAUACCUCAAUGAAAGCUUCUUAACUCGGGUGAUUCACACCAGCUCCUCGGGGAUUCACAGAAGCAAGAGCCCAGAGAAUGUUGACAGAUGAAAGAGCCCCUGGCCGAAAGCCUGGAGCCAAAGCCUGAGAGGCCCUCUCUCUCUUUCACUCACUGACACAACAAUGUGUGUUUGUUUUGUUUUGUUUUUCUUUUUUUCUUUUU
rnacentral:lncRNA from 1 species